rnacentral:rRNA from 1 species
UAGCCAGACUCCUACGGGAGGCAGCAGUGGGGAAUAUUGCACAAUGGGGGGAACCCUGAUGCAGCGACGCCGCGUGGGUGAAGGAGUAUUUCGGUAUGUAAGGCCCUAUCAGCAGGGAAGAACAAUGACGGUACCUGACUAAGAAGCACCGGCUAAAUACGUGCCAGCAGCCGCGGUAAUACGUAUGGAGCAAGCGUUAUCCGGAUUUACUGGGUGUAAAGGGAGCGUAGGCGGCCUGCCAAGUCUGAUGUGAAAUACCGGGGCUCAACCCCGGGGCUGCAUUGGAAACUGGCAGGCUGGAGUGUCGGAGAGGCAGGCGGAAUUCCUAGUGUAGCGGUGAAAUGCGUAGAUAUAAGGAAGAACACCAGUGGCGAAGGCGGAUGACUGGACGGCAACUGACGGUGAGGCGCGAAAGCGUGGGGAGCAAACAGGAUUAGAUACCCCGGUAG